UUUAGGGAUGGGUAUCUGGUGCCUUCGGGUUUUUUUGAGACAGGUGCUGCUUGGCUGUCGUCAGCUCGUGUCGUGAGAUGUUGGGUUAAGUCCCGUAACGAGCGCAACCCUUGUCCUUAGUUACCAGCACGUGAUGGUGGGCACUCUAAGGAGACUGCCGGUGACAAACCGGAGGAAGGUGGGGAUGACGUCAAGUCAUCAUGGCCCUUACGGCCUGGGCUACACACGUGCUACAAUGGUCGGUACAGAGGGUUGCCAAGCCGCGAGGUGGAGCUAA
rnacentral:rRNA from 1 species